GCCGGGGUAGCUCAGCCCGGUGGAGAGAACAUCACCGAAAGCGCCCGGCUGUUAACCGGGUGGUCCGGGGUUCAAAUCCCCGCCCCGGCGCCA
rnacentral:tRNA from 1 species